rnacentral:rRNA from 1 species
CCAGCCCCCCCCUGGGCAAGGGGUACCCCCAGGGGCCCCCGGAAAAAGGGGGUUUUCCCUGGGCCUAAAAGCCCUAGGGAAUAAAAGGGGGGCAAGACUGGUGUCGCCCCCCGCGGUAACCCCGCCCCCUCGAGUGGUGGGGAUGAUUUUUUGGCCAAAAGCGUCCGUAGCCGGCCGGGUAAGUCUCCCGUUAAAUCCAGCGUCUCAAGCGUUGGACUGCGGGAGAUACUGUCUGGCUAGAGAGUGGGGAUAGAUCCCCGGAGGACCACCAGUGGCGAAGGCUGUGCACUAGAACACGUCUGACGGUCAGGGACGAAAGCUGGGGGUAGCAAACCGGAUUAGAUACCCGGGUAGUCCCAGCUGUAAACGAUGCACGCUAGGUGUUGGGGCGGCCACGAGCCGCUCCAGUGCCGCAGGGAAGCCGUUAAGCGUGCCGCCUGGGGAGUACGGCCGCAAGGCUGAAACUUAAAGGAAUUGGCGGGGGAGCACCACCAGGCGUGAAGCCUGCGGUUUAAUUGGA